AUUAAUCAAAUCCUUGAGUAUGGUCAGAAAUAAUUAGUUUUGUGUAUCCAAAUUUUAUUUUGAUUAAGAGUCAAUUAGGCAUCCUAAUCAAUGAAUGAUUAAUGGUCAAGAUAAGUUUAGAGAUACUGAGGAAUAAAUUAUUAAGAAAAUCUAAUGAAUGGUAGGGUUUAGACUAGACUAAAUUUUAGGAGUGAUUCUACAACCCUCUUCUUACUGAUCUCAAUAAAGAAUCUGCUUCAUGAGAGAUUGGGUGGAAAGGUCGAGGUAUGCAAAAAUUCUCCUUAAAAUUUAUUUAAAAAAAAAAUAUUGGUUUCCUACUGAGUAACCGGGCC
rnacentral:lncRNA from 1 species